rnacentral:rRNA from 1 species
GAACGCGUGGCUUCGGCCACGAGUGGCGCACGGGUGAGUAGCGCGUGGGAACCUGUCCUCUUGUGGGGGAUAACCGAGGGAAACUUCGGCUAAUACCGCAUGCGCCCGGUGGUGCUCCUUUGGGAGCGAUCUCCGGGGAAAGAUUUAUCGCAGGAGGAGGGGCCCGCGUCGGAUUAGCUUGUUGGCGGGGUAACGGCCCACCAAGGCUUUGAUCCGUAGCUGGUCUGAGAGGAUGAUCAGCCACACUGGGACUGAGACACGGCCCAGACUCCUACGGGAGGCAGCAGUGGGGAAUAUUGGACAAUGGGCGCAAGCCUGAUCCAGCAAUGCCGCGUGAGUGAUGAAGGCCUUCGGGUUGUAAAGCUCUUUCGCCCGCGACGAUGAUGACGGUAGCGGGAGAAGAAGCCCCGGCUAACUUCGUGCCAGCAGCCGCGGUAAUACGAAGGGGGCGAGCGUUGUUCGGAUUUACUGGGCGUAAAGGGCGCGUAGGCGGCGUGGGAAGUCAGGCGUGAAAGCCCCGGGCUCAACCUGGGAACUGCGCUUGGGACUCUCAGGCUGGAGUUCGGGAGAGGAGCGUGGAAUUCCCAGUGUAGAGGUGAAAUUCGUAGAUAUUGGGAAGAACACCGGUGGCGAAGGCGGCGCUCUGGACCGAGACUGACGCUGAGGCGCGAAAGCGUGGGGA